rnacentral:tRNA from 1 species
GCAGGGGUAGUUCAGUGGUAGAAAUCUCAUCUUCCACGCAGGAGACCCAGGUUCAAUUCCCGGCCAAUGCG